UUCGUUGUUGAUGAAGCCUUGA
rnacentral:miRNA from 1 species